rnacentral:tRNA from 1 species
GGGGAUAGCUCAGUGGUAGAGUGCAUGCCUAGCAUGCACAAGGUCCUGGGUUCAAUCCCCAGCACCUCCG